rnacentral:tRNA from 1 species
AAGAAAGUGUCAGAUGGUAUGAGUUUGACUUGAAAUUAAAUUUAGGGGGUUCGAUUCCUUCCUUUCUUG